rnacentral:lncRNA from 1 species
CCUACCCUAUAAAUAAGUUGUCAAGUCUUCAUUGUAAACAUUCAGAAAUUACCUCAAUGAUAUUAAAAGUAUUUUUUUUCAAGAGAGGUUCUUCUGCAUCUCAUUGAGUAAGGAGUGGAUCUACUUAUUAAGGUACGACCUUGUGGCAUUUUUCUAUUUUAUUUCUUUCAUUUAUAAUGACCUUAGUUUCUAUCAUUCUUGAUAGCAAGUUAAGUAGAAAGAGUUUCUCUAGGAUCAAUUCAUUUGAUACCUUUAAAUAAACUUAUGUUUGUUCCUAAUCACGACGGUUGAU